CUCCCAAGCAAACAUGUCGGCAAGGGUA
rnacentral:piRNA from 1 species